CUGGCUCCCAGUAACUGGAUUAAAUGGUAAAUAGAUUGCUUUUAUAUAGUGCUUUUCCAUCUGCAUCAGAUGCUCAAAGACCUUUACAGGAAUGCCUCACA